rnacentral:rRNA from 1 species
UGUACUAGUUUAUUUUGUUUGAACGAUGGAGGGACGCAGGAGGCUAAAGGAUCCGCACGAUUGGAAAUGUGCGGCCAAGCAAUAAGUCUUGGUGUGAGUCAAAUGCUUGCACCUGUACGGACAAGUUGUGAUGGGGAGCGAAUUUAAGUAGCGAAGUCCUUGAUGUCACACUGCCGAGAAAAGCUUCUAGUGAGAAAUAAACUACCCGUACCGCAAACCGACAC